CCUACGGGGGGCUGCAGUGAGGAAUAUUGGUCAAUGGCCGAAAGUCUGAACCAGCCAAGUAGCGUGAGGGAAGACUGCCCUAUGGGUUGUAAACUUCUUUUAUACGGGGAUAAAGGUGUCCACGUGUGGAUGUUUGCAGGUACCGUAUGAAUAAGGAUCGGCUAACUCCGUGCCAGCAGCCGCGGUAAUACGGAGGAUCCGAGCGUUAUCCGGAUUUAUUGGGUUUAAAGGGAGCGUAGAUGGGUUGUUAAGUCAGUUGUGAAAGUUUGCGGCUCAACCGUAAAAUUGCAAUUGAUACUGGCAGUCUUGAGUACAGUUGAGGUAGGCGGAAUUCGUGGUGUAGCGGUGAAAUGCUUAGAUAUCACGAAGAACUCCGAUUGCGAAGGCAGCUUACUAAACUGCCACUGACAUUGAUGCUCGAAAGUGUGGGUAUCAAACAGGAUUAGAUACCCUUGUAGUC
rnacentral:rRNA from 1 species